rnacentral:rRNA from 1 species
UCUGCCUGAGAAGGCGGCAUAACCCGGAAAUUAGGGGAUAUACCGCAUAGAUAGGGAGGCUAGCAUGCUCCAUAGUCAAAGGUCUGACGCUCAGGAUGGGUCUGCUGACGUAUAGGUGUGUAGGGUACCGGUCACCAUGCCUGUAUCGGUAUGAGUGUCAGAGCAAGAGCCGGAGAUGAGUCAGAGUCACGAAUCCAGGCGUACGGCAGCAGCAGGCGCGAUACACUUUACAGUGCGAGAAAUCGUGAUAAGGGAACCCGAGUGCCUGUAGUUCUGGCUGUCCAUCAGUGCAAAAAAACUGGUGAAGAAAGAGCCGGGCAAGACCGGUGCCAGCCGCCGCGGUAAUACCGGCGGCUCGAGUGGUGGCCACUAUUACUGGGCUUAAAGCGUCCGUAGCUUGGUUGUUAAGUUUUUUGGGAAAUCCAUCGGCUCAACCGAUGGGCGUUCAGGAGAUACUGUCAACCUAGGGACCGGAAGAGUUGAGAGGUACUUCAAGGGUAGGAGUGAAAUCCUGUAAUCCUUGGGGGACCACCUGUGGCGAAGGCGUCUCAAUAGAACGGCUCCGACAGUGAGGGACGAAAGCUGGGGGAGCAAACCGGAUUAGAUACCCGGGUAGUCCCAGCUGUAAACGAUGCGCGUUAGGUGUAUCGGUCACCACGAGUCACCGAGGUGUCGUAGGGAAGCCGUUAAACGUGCCGCCUGGGAAGUACGUUCGCAAGGAUGAAACUUAAAGGAAUUGGCGGGGGAGCAC